rnacentral:misc_RNA from 1 species
GUUCUAUAAUUUUUUUUUAAUUGGAGAUAAAUGGCUAGUUCUUAAUAAUGAUCUCUCCUUUUUGUCUUAUUUUAUCAAUAGUUAGAAGUAUUUCAUUUGAUCAUUUUCAGUUUUAUUCUUAUAUACAUCUGUAAUUCUGAUCAUUGACUUGACUGGGUUUCUAUGUUAUUGUGAUUUCAUAUACACCCCUAAUAGCCAGGGUAGUGAAACCUUAUCUCAAUCACAAAAAACAAAAUGGUUUUGAAAUGCUCUGUUGUUUCCUGUGUUUUGCCUAUUAGAGCCAUCAGCCAUAUCAUGUCUAUUCUAUCAAUGGAAUAUACUAGUGAAAGGCACCCGUAAUUUGGGAGGAGCUCAAAAGGCAGAGUUUUGAGAUAAACUGCUGAUCACUGUCAAAACAUCCUGUCACUUUUUCAUACUUAUAAUUCAUGUAGAAGUAAUUGUGCUUCAUAUCAUGGGGCUUUCUUGUUCGGCCUUGCCUUGUGGUGGUUAAAUGCCUUGACUUCUAUGCGAUUGUUGUGCUUAUAAUAUGGUCAACCUUAUAGCAAUAUGAACUAUGGGACUAUAAUGAAAAUUUAGUAAUGCUUCACCUUCAUGUGGUUGUAGAGUGAAUGGUGGAAAACAGAAACGCUUUUUUAUUUUCAACCCAUCCUUGUCCUCCCCCUUUAUUUUCUCCUUGUCUAUUGUCUGUAGUAAAAUGAGUAAUUACACAUUCAAAUGUACUGUAUUUUAUUUUAUUUUUUUAUCAAUUUUCAUUUACAACCUU